GAGGAGGAGGAAGGGCAGGGGCUAUCCCGCUUGCGGGCGGGGCCGCUGCCGGGCGGCUCGGGAUGGUGCGGGAGCCGCGGAGGCCCGGGGGAGAGGGCGGGCGGCGGGGCCCGGGCGCGAGGGGCGCGGAGGGGUCCACCGACCGGUGAGGGGAGAGCUCUGGCGGGCGCAGCCUGUGAGUGGCACCAGAAUGGAUGUGCCCAGCGCAGCCUCUGCACACCCUCCUGGGAACAAUGAGACCCAACAAAGGGCUCUCCGCUCUCCCACACGGUGAGCCGCAUCCUUCCCUCACGCAGGAAAGCGAGGCACUGAAGAGGGAGGGCCACCCCACCAUGCACAGUGGCCAGGUGCCCUGGACAGAGACCUGGGCCCUUCCCCUGCCCUGCUCCAGAUAUGCUGCCCCCACACUGUUCCCUCUACAUCCCUCUUUGCACACCCUCUCUUGGCCUUGAGAAAGCGUCUCAGUUUCUGUUCCUUACUGAAGGCGCCAGGCAUCCUGUCUCCGGGGGAAACCCCAUCAGGCCGCUACCCUAGUUCCUGGGGCCCACACUCCGCAAUCAAACCUGGGAACUAUUCAGGCCAGUAACAGUUCAGAAGUCACCCACAGAACAGUCCUCAGCACCCAAGACUCUCUUUCAUAGGUUAGUGUUUACUGAGCCCUCGGUGUGAACAGCCUGAUGCUGGGGGCUCCAGGGCUAAGAAGAAAGUGUAAGACACCCCACCACCAUCACCACCACCACCCAAGGAAGCUCACCAUCCAGUGACAGAGAGAAGGCUCACGGUGGACUCCCAUUCAACAAUAAGGCAAGACAGGAUGUGACUAAGUAUAAGGUGUAACUGCCGAAGAGGAGUCACAAGUGUCAGUUCAAGAUUCAUUUCACCUGAAACUGGACGGACUGCUUAUCAGCUGAGAACAGAUAACACAGAAAGCUCUACCCUGCGUGAACAAAGUGGAGAAAGCAGGGUGAAGACAGACAGCCUCAAGUUCUUCCAUAGCUCCAGGUCUGGAACUAAGCUAGGGAGAAAGAACACAAUGACUUAAGUCCCUGCCCUGGGUAAGGCUAGAGGAAGAUGGAAUCGCUUCCCUGUCGUACAGGUGGGAAACCUGGCCCGAAGGGAGUGAGCAUCCACCCAGAGUGACCGGGUGAGUCUGGCAGUGCUGAGCUGAGAAUCAGCCCAGCGUCUGCACUUCAGUCAACUAGAUCUCCACACAGUUGGCAGUUCUCGCUGUGAACCACGUAAGCUUCACUUUGUGGGAAAACAGAACAGAAGGGUCCACUUUUGCUCCUGGAGACCUGAUUUCCAACUCUGCCUCAGUCACUAAAUAACUUUAAUUUUCUUACUAGAAGAAAAUGAAAUAAGUGUGCCAAUUUAAAGGGCUGUAACACAACGUUGUAAAAUGACUAUAACUCAAUUUUUUAAAGUUUAUAAAAUUUAAAAAAAUUAAAUUUUAAAAAAUAAUAAAGGGCUGUUGUUAGUAUUAACUCAGGCAGUGGACCUGAAUUUGCUCUGGAAGUACAAGGUGCUAUGUAAGUGUGUGCUGUUGUUCCACGGGUGGAAUCCCUCCUCUGUCCUAUAAGCUGCAUUCAGAUCUCCUAUCCCCACCCUCCUCCAGUUUAUCCCAGGCCUGGUGACUGGGUGCCAGAAGCUAACUGUAAUCCUGACUUCUCCCCUCAGGCCACAAUGUGCUGACUCAUGAUCUUUCCCCUCCGGCUUCUCCAUGGCACAGCCAGAUGCUGACCUAGCCGCCUAGAACCCGUCAUCCAUGGGUCAGGAGGAUUCUGGUACUUUUCAUCUGGAGCCCCUUCUGCCUCUCCGGCCCCUCUUCGGCCCAUCUGCAAGGCACUUUGAGUUGCUCAGCAAGAGGCCAUGUGGUGGGGCAAGCAGGACUCUGGCUCCUGAGACCGUCCAUGUCGGAGGUGAAAGGCCUCAGGUGCUGGUCUAGCUGCCGCCACCUGCUCCGGGCCCAGGAUGCUGUGAUGGAGGGAGCUGCUUUUGGAUCCCCGUGGACAGAGACUCCCUAGACACAAGUUCAGAAGAAGCAUAACAAAGCGACUGGCCUCCUGACUCGGCCAGUUCUUCCCUGCAGCUCUUCCAGAGUCCCACCACUCAGGUGAGAUGGAGAUGCAGUGAAGGAACUGUUCCCAGUGGUGACAAAGUCAGUCUACCUCAGGCGGAGAGUCUCGAGGUCCAUCACCUAGGCCCCUUUUAUCCAACUGGCCAUUUCCCAGAGUAAAUGCAAACAAUUCUUGUGGGCAGUGACCCUGGACACUGCUGGGGGCUUUGGGGGCAGGAGGCUGAGCCGGACGUCUUCUCCCAGAGCAGUUUCCGGCUUGCAGGUGCUCCCUGGGUCUUAGUUACUCCUAUUGCAGGCUCUGGGGGAGAACUGACUCUCUUCCCCUUGAAAAGCAGAGCGGGUCCUGACACACAAGCAUCAUCUCUGCCUCCCAGCCCUGCAAGGGAGCAAACUAAGCCUCCCUCUAGAUCAGCCCCUAACUCCUGUCCUGUCCCGUCCUGUCCUCUGCUCACCAACCCCGCUGAGCCAUGCCUCUGGAGGGUACCAACCACAGGUCGUACUGCCUUCCUGUUCCCAUCAGCGCUUUGCGGUGCUGGUCGAUGGAGACGCUGGUAGGUAUUUGGUGGAUGGAUGAGCAAACAUGUGAGGAGGGGGAUGGGACAGAUCAGGCACUGAUCUGCUAGGGAGUCAAGGCUGGAGAGGCCGGGGAUGCCUUCACAGGGCACAGCUCCAGGGAGUUAAGAGACCCAUCCUGGCUGUCCUCCUGUUGGUCCAGGAUUGGCCACCUGUUAGUCUUACCUGAACAUUCACCCUCCGUGUGAAGCCGGAUGAAACCCUCGCUGACAGAACUUCAUCUGUCAGGGGCUAGAGGAUGCUCCCAGGAUGGAGUCCCUCCACUCUGCCAAGAGAAACCUCUCUGGGUUAGUGUCCCCUCCACUCCUCUGAUCGGCCCCGUUUAUUUUCAUGAUAGUUCAGGAGGAGGUCCUCUUCAGACCUCCCAACUCUUUAUUUUUCUUAUACACGGAUGACAAGGACAAGCAGGGCUCCCCUUCAAAGCCAGCCGGGUGUUCUGUGGCCAGAAUCCCCACCUGGCGGGGGGAAGCUGGCUCCCGCCCCAGGGCCCCACUCCCAGCUCUUCCCUCCAACUGGCCCCUCAGCACCCUCGAUACCCCACUUCACUCAGGCCUUCCUGCUGGAGGCGCGCUGGGUGGGCGACUGUGCCAAAUGCUGUUGAGAUCCCAAAAGCCCACUCUGGACAUCAGCCUGGGGCAGCCCUGUCUGCAGGGCAGCCUCCCCUGUGUUGUCUCCUUUAACUCCUAAGUUCGCCGGUCUGCGUGCCCACUGGCCUGGAGGCCGGGAGCUUCAUUUUAGUCAUCUCUGUACCCCACGCUCAGGACACUGUCAGGACCAGUCAGCCAGUGAGUCAAAGUAUGAGAGGAAGCAACAUGGUCCCACGUGACGUUUACCCAGCAGAUCACGGAUCCUCACCCCUGCUCCCCUUUACAAAGAAAGAGGCUCAGGAACAGGCUCUGGAUGCCUUGGGUCUGGGACAGUGUUCUGGGGUGAAUGUCGACCCCGGGAGGAGAGCACGGACCAGCAUCCAGGGCGGUGCCUCACCUGUAGUACAUGUUUAAUAAACACGCAAGGAACAAACGACUGGAGCUCAGCUCUGAACCCAGCCUCCUGGCUCUCGGUCCAGGGGAGCAGAAGAGCCACGCCCCUCCUCCGCCUCAGCUCUCCUCCCGCUUCCAUUUUGCAGACCCCACCUCCUGCCUCCUCAGAGAGAUCAUCAUGAGAAAGCCAGUCCCAGGAGCCCGCAGCCCCACCUUGACUAACGAGCAGACGCCAGCCCCUCUCCACCAGCACGUGCAUCUGUCCCCGGUGCCGGAAAGCGGGCCUUGUGUUUAACUGCGUGCCCUCAACAUCCGCCGCGCCCGUGUCCCUGCUCUGCUGGAGCAGUAGUAGAUGUCACCUUGUCCAGAUAAGCCCCUGAUGGCUCCCUGCAGCCAUCAGCCUCGGACACUUUUAAGUCCCUUCCUGGCCUUGUGACUCUUUGGAUGGGGACCUAUGACGCUGGUCACACCUUGAACCCCUGCCCCUCAAGGCUUUUGGACUCCACUGCAACCAUGUCAUUUUGCCCUGCUGAGACACUUUGUAUUUGCUCUUCUGGUUGCUCCGUGUGAGUUUGUUUUGUCUUCCUGCCCAGAUAAUGAACUCAAGGCCAGGGACUCACUGACCAAAUAACGGAAGCAAAGGCAGGCAUCUGGGGCUUGUGUCACCUGAUUCUCAUUAGAGCCCUCCUCCUUCCAGGCAGCGAUCUUCCAUCCUUGUCAACAGGAGUUUAUCAGCGGGGUUGGCUCACGUGCAGGAAGUGUGACCUCAAUGCUCAAUGGGAAGGGAAAGAGGAAGUACCACAAAAAAAAUUGAUAGAUUUUUUUCCAAAAA